GUCUGGUACCUCUAGAACAUUGCCGAAAAAAGUCGUUAGAGCAGAUAUCCUUGCCAUGUUCCUGCCCCAAAGACUGUCCUAGUCUUUCUCUGUACUGGAGUGCUAGUCUCAUCUUUAUUCCUGACAUUAGCAAUUUAUAUCUUUUUUCUUCUUUUCCUGAUUUGUCUUGCUAGAGAUUUAUCAAUUUUAUUAAUCCUCUCAGAGAACCAGCUUUGGAUUUCAUUGAUAAUCUCCAUCAUUUUUCUGUUUCCUAUUUCUUAGAUUUCUGCUCUGAUCUUCAGUAUAUCCUUUCUCCUGCUUAUUUUUGCUUUAUUUACUCUUCUUUUUUUACUUUCUUAAGUGGAAUCUGAUGUCACUUGUUUGAAACUUCCCUUUUUUCUUCUUCUUUU